CCCUUAGAUGUUCUGGGCCGCACGCGCGCUACACUGAUGCAUUCAACGAGUUUCUUCCUGGUCCGAGAGGAAUGGGUAACCUUUUGAAAGUACAUCGUGAUAGGGAUAGACUAUUGCAAUUAUUGGUCUUCAACGAGGAAUUCCUAGUAGACGUAGUUCAUCAGACUGCAUCGAUUACGUCCCUGUCCUUUGUACACACCGCCCGUCGCUCCUACCGAUUGAAUGCUCAGGUGAGCCAUUCGGACUUUCAUCAUGCUGGUUUCCAGUUUUGAUGAAGGAAAGUCUUGCGAACCUUAUCAUUUAGAGGAAGGAGAAGUCGUAACA
rnacentral:rRNA from 1 species